rnacentral:rRNA from 1 species
AUACGUAGGGUGCGAGCGUUGUCCGGAAUUACUGGGCGUAAAGAGCUCGUAGGUGGUUUGUCGCGUCGUCUGUGAAAUUCCGGGGCUUAACUCCGGGCGUGCAGGCGAUACGGGCAUAACUUGAGUACUGUAGGGGAGACUGGAAUUCCUGGUGUAGCGGUGAAGUGCGCAGAUAUCAGGAGGAACACCGGUGGCGAAGGCGGGUCUCUGGGCAGUAACUGACGCUGAGGAGCGAAAGCAUGGGUAGCGAACAGGAUUAGAUACCCUGGUAGUCCGUGCCGUAAACGGUGGGCGCUAGGUGUAGGGGUCUUCCACGACUUCUGUGCCGUAGCUAACGCAUUAAGCGCCCCGCCUGGGGAGUACGGCCGCAAGGCUAAAACUCAAAGGAAUUGACGGGG